rnacentral:tRNA from 1 species
AUCGUUGUGGCGCAGUGGGGCGUGUCCGACUGUCAACGCAUUGUUGCAAAGAUUGUGGGUUCGAUCCCUACUCGCGAUU